AAAGCUGAGGCCGAGAGGCGUAGGCGAUGGACAACGGGUUGAUAUUCCCGUACCGGUCUGAUUUGUUUGAGCAAUGGAGGGACGCAGGAGGCUAACGAUGCGCACUAUCGGAUGUGCGUCCAAGCAGCAAGUCUGUCGGCGAGUCAAAUGCUUGCCGGCUCAAGGACAAGCUGUGACGGGUAUGAACGAUUUAUCGUUCUAAGUGAGUGACGUCACACUGCCAAGAAAAGCUUCUAGUUAGAAUCAGACCGCCCGUACCGCAAACCGACACAGGUAGUCGGGUCGAGAAGACCAAGGUGAGCGAGAGAACUCUCGUUAAGGAACUCGGCAAAAUGACCCCGUAACUUCGGGAGAAGGGGUGCUGAUCGCAAGAUCAGCCGCAGUGAAUAGGCCCAGGCGACUGUUUAUCAAAAACACAGGUUUCUGCAAAAUCGUAAGAUGAAGUAUAGGGGCUGACGCCUGCCCGGUGCUGGAAGGUUAAGAGGAUGGGUUAGCGUAAGCGAAGCUCAGAAUUGAAGCCCCAGUAAACGGCGGCCGUAGCUAUAACGGUCCUAAGGUAGCGAAAUUCCUUGUCGGGUAAGUUCCGACCCGCACGAAAGGCGUAACGAUCUGGGCACUGUCUCAACGAGAGACUCGGUGAAAUUAUAAUACCCGUGAAGAUGCGGGUUACCCGCGACAGGACGGAAAGACCCCAUGGAGCUUUACUGUAGCUUGAUAUUGGGUGUUUGUACAACUUGUACAGGAUAGGUAGGAGCCGUAGAAGUCGGGACGCUAGUUUCGACGGAGGCAUCGGUGGGAUACUACCCUCGUUGUAUGAACACUCUAACCCACGCCGGCAAUCACGGCGGGAGACAGUGUCAGGUGGGCAGUUUGACUGGGGCGGUCGCCUCCUAAAAGGUAACGGAGGCGCCCAAAGGUUCCCUCAGAAUGGUUGGAAAUCAUUCGCAGAGUGUAAAGGCAUAAGGGAGCUUGACUGCGAGACCUACAAGUCGAGCAGGGACGAAAGUCGGGCUUAGUGAUCCGGUGGUUCCGCAUGGAAGGGCCAUCGCUCAACGGAUAAAAGCUACCCUGGGGAUAACAGGCUUAUCUCCCCCAAGAGUCCACAUCGACGGGGAGGUUUGGCACCUCGAUGUCGGCUCAUCGCAUCCUGGGGCUGUAGUCGGUCCCAAGGGUUGGGCUGUUCGCCCAUUAAAGCGGUACGCGAGCUGGGUUCAGAACGUCGUGAGACAGUUCGGUCCCUAUCCGUCGCGGGCGCAGGAAAUUUGAGAGGAUCUGUCCUUAGUACGAGAGGACCGGGAUGGACAUACCGCUGGUGUACCAGUUGUUCUGCCAAGGGCAUCGCUGGGUAGCUAUGUAUGGAUGAGAUAAACGCUGAAAGCAUCUAAGUGCGAAACUCACCUCGAGAUAAGAUUUCCCACUCCUUUAUGGAGUUAAGACCCCUGAGAGAUGAUCAGGUAGAUAGGAUGGAAGUGGAAGUGCGGCGACGCAUGGAGCGGACCAUUACUAAUCGGUCGAGGACUUAACCG
rnacentral:rRNA from 1 species